rnacentral:rRNA from 1 species
CUACGGGAGGCAGCAGUAGGGAAUAUUGGACAAUGGACGCAAGUCUGAUCCAGCCAUCCCGCGUGAAGGAUUAAGGCCCUAUGGGUUGUAAACUUCUUUUCUUUGGGAAUAAAAAGCGGUAUUCAUAUCGCCUUGAAGGUACCAGAGGAAUAAGCACCGGCUAACUCCGUGCCAGCAGCCGCGGUAAUACGGAGGGUGCAAGCGUUAUCCGGAUUCACUGGGUUUAAAGGGUGCGUAGGUGGCUUUGUAAGUCAGCGGUGAAAGCCUGGAGCUCAACUCCAGAAUUGCCAUUGAUACUGCAGAGCUUGAAUCAAGUUGAGGUGGAUGGAAUAUUACAUGUAGCGGUGAAAUGCUUAGAUAUGUAAUAGAACACCGAUUGCGAAGGCAGUUCACUAAGCUUGUAUUGACACUGAGGCACGAAAGCGUGGGGAUCAAACAGGAUUAGAUACCCUGGUAGUCCACGCCCUAAACGAUGCAAACUCGACAUUAGCGAUAUACCAGUUAGUGUCCAAGCGAAAGCGUUAAGUUUGCCGACCGNGGUAAGGUACGACCGCGAGUAGUUAACGUUACGAAGAAGUUAGNGNGNGAGAGNGCGACGGACGACGACGAGGGAGAGG